UCCGGACACAGAUGCGACUUGCAAGGGUCAAAAUCUUUAAAUUAUGAUCUCUGUGUGCAUGCGAUUAUCUUAAGCCGUCUUGUGAAAUGUCCAAAUAACUCCAACUGCUUCCUCAGAUGAUAACACGGACGAUAAAGGAAUGAAGGGUAUGUCUGCUACAUUACGAUUGACAAAACUUGCACAUCUACUUUCAAGCUGGUGAAAGCACGAUUUCAAGAUGUAAGCUAAGAAAGAAGAUGGUAAUUUCCGGUCACAAGUGUCAAAAUCUUAAAAUUAGGGUUGAAGAGAAAUAUACGUCUCCUUGCGGUAAACCAGAAUACAGCACGACAUUUUGCUUCAUACGUGUUAUUCAAAAGACAACAACAGUUUAAAGCCAAAGGAACCCAAUCUAAGAAGAUGAUUUAACUAUAAUUGUGUCAGUCGUUGGACAUUCAAAAUCAUGAUCUGAAAUAUCGUUUGGGAAUUCUUCCCUUUGCUGAUAAAAUACCUUCUAUCAUUUAAUGGAUACUUAACUAGAACGGAACAGAACAGAACAGAACGGACCAGAACUGAACUCUCUAUUUAGGAUUAAAAUUCAUCCAUAAACAUAAUAACUAGAGUGAGCAUUUACAUCUCUGUAAACGGCAUCGAUAUUGCCAUUUAAUUUAUCAUUGGUAUUCUGCAGGAUUCUGAACUUAAUGCUCCGUAAUUAAUACAUUGACAUUUUCUUGACAAAAUAUUGAUAAAUCAGUUGAUAGACUGAUAUCAAAGUUGGAUUUUGCUGUUAUCCGAAUUCCGAAAGCAGCGUAAUACAAUAAGUACAAUGAUUAUCAAGAUUUAUAAAAAUUGUUUCACCCAGAGUUAUUUUGACAUAGGAAAUUCUACACGUCUGACAAACCGGAACCAUAACGUCAUUAAACCGGAAAUAUAACACAAAACCUGGACUCGGCAUAUGGAUUCUCCUUUUCGUUUCCUAAUUUUUUUAAAAUAUCUAUGGGUUGGAAAACUUAAGAUUUUCUCAAUUUGAGCAAAAAACAACAACAACAACGACGACAAAACCACCAAAAUGUAAAUUCUGUAUGUAUUGUGCAAGAGAAUACAUGUAUAUAAAUGUGUACAUGGCAUUGUAAAUUAAUUGUUAAGAAUAUUAUUUACAUUUGUGAUAUAAUAGAUGAAUCUAAUAUAAUGAAGUUAUACAUAUCUGUGUUUUAUUUGAUAAUUGCAACUUUUUGGUACCUCGGACAGUGUUUUAACAUCAUUAAGCUCGUUUCGCGCAAGUAACUGGAAUAACAGGAAGAUUUUGAGGAUGAAUUCUUUUCAGAAUUAUUCUGGAGACAUAUGCUUUAUCAUGAAUUAAGAGUUUUGAAGUGUUUUUAAUACUUCAAAGCAAAUCACUUCACAUACUAAACACCUGCAAUACGUAUUGUCCGACACAUUUAAUCGAGUUGCUUCCUGUAGGUAAAUCGAGACGUUAAUAACGUCGGCUUUUAAUUUUACAAAUACGUUUUGUAUGUGCAUGUGCAAAUUCUAUGGAAAUUCUUGACACCUCAGACGCUUAGUUGUGCCCACAAAACCACUGUAAGGUGCAUUUGAUAGUUUCAUUAUCUGUACUGUAAGACUGUACAUGUUCCUCAUCCGGCUACAUUCAUGUACUACAUUUAACAAUGAAAGCAUGGUGCUGAUGUAGCGAUGUCACGACAUGAUGUAACAGAGAAGCGAUACUACGAUGCCACGAUUGUGACAGAGCGAUCUUGUGACAGCACAUAUCACUUCGCGCCUGCAUCAUGACAGGUCCAUUCCACCACAUUUUAGACUCGUACCAUCACCGUAGAGUUGCGUCAAUUAAGUGUCGUGAGCAUUGCAUGCCCCUAAUUUGAUAGCGAUAGAUAAAUCUAUCUUAUUAUUGCCUU
rnacentral:lncRNA from 1 species